rnacentral:rRNA from 1 species
CGAAAGUGCUGAUAAUACCUGAUAACAUCCAGGAGUCGCAUGGCUCUUGGAUCAAAGAUGGGGACCUUCGGGCCUGUCGGUGAAAGAUCAGCCCAUGUCCUAUCAGCUUGUUGGUGGGGUAAUGGCCUACCAAGGCGACGACGGGUAGCCGGCGUGAGAGCGUGAUCGGCCACAUCGGGACUGAGACACUGCCCGGACACCUACGGGUGGCUGCAGCAACGAAUAUUCCGCAAUGGACGAAAGUCUGACGGAGCGACGCCGCGUGGGGGAUGAAGUCCUUCGGGAUGUAAACUCCAAUAGUUUGUCAGGAAGUGAACGAGGCUAAUACCCUCGUGAGUUGACCAGCAUACGAAAGGGGCGGCUAAUUCCGUGCCAGCAGCCGCGGUAAUACGGAAGCCCCAAGCGUUGUUCGGAAUCACUGGGCUUAAAGAGCGUGUAGGCGGGAUGGUAAGUACUUUGUGAAAGCCCCGGCUUCAAUCCGGGAAUUGCUUGGUAUACUGCUAUCCUUGAGGCAGGUAGGGGUGACUGGAACCUUAGGUGGAGCGGUGAAAUGCGUAGAUAUCUAAGGGAACACCUGUGGCGAAAGCGGGUCACUAGGCCUGUCCUGACGCUGAGACGCGAAAGCGUAGGGAGCGAACGGGAUUAGAUACCCCGGUAGUCUACGCCGUAAACGAUGCGCACUAGGUUCGAGAACCUCUGACGGUUUUCGUGCCGAAACAAAAGCGAUAAGUGCGCCGCCUGGGGAGUACGGCCGCAAGGCUAAAACUCAAAGGAAUUGACGGGGGCUCACACAAGCGGUGGAGCAUGUGGAUUAAUUCGAAGCAACGCGAAGAACCUUACCUGGGUUUGACAUGCAUGGAUGCCCUCUUGGAAACAGGAGUAAGCUGCCUUCGGGUGAAACAUGCACAGGUGCUGCAUGGCUGUCGUCAGCUCGUGCUGCGAAGUGUCGGGUUAAGUCCCUUAACGAGCGCAACCAUUGUGGGAAUGUUGCGAGCUGGUUCGCACUCGGGAACUCUAGCGAGACAACCGGCGUUAAGCCGGAGGAAGGUG